rnacentral:rRNA from 1 species
GAUGAACGCUGGCGGCGUGCCUAAUACAUGCAAGUCGAGCGAAUGGAUUAAGAGCUUGCUCUUAUGAAGUUAGCGGCGGACGGGUGAGUAACACGUGGGUAACCUGCCCAUAAGACUGGGAUAACUCCGGGAAACCGGGGCUAAUACCGGAUAACAUUUUGAACCGCAUGGUUCGAAAUUGAAAGGCGGCUUCGGCUGUCACUUAUGGCUGGACCCGCGUCGCAUUAGCUAGUUGGUGAGGUAACGGCUCACCAAGGCAACGAUGCGUAGCCGACCUGAGAGGGUUAUCGGCCACACUGGGACUGAGACACCGCCCAGACUCCUACGGGAGGCAGCAGUAGGGAAUCUUCCGCAAUGGACGAAAGUCUGACGGAGCAACGCCGCGUGAGUGAUGAAGGCUUUCGGGUCGUAAAACUCUGUUGUUAGGGAAGAACAAGUGCUAGUUGAAUAAGCUGGCACCUUGACGGUACCUAACCAGAAAGCCACGGCUAACUACGUGCCAGCCGCCGCAGUAA